UAACACAUGCAAGUCGAGGGGAAACGACAUCGAAAGCUUGCUUUUGAUGGGCGUCGACCGGCGCACGGGUGAGUAACGCGUAUCCAACCUACCCAUCACUUGGGGAUAACCUUGCGGAAGUAAGACUAAUACCCAAUGACGUCUCUAGAAGACAUCUGAAAGAGAUUAAAGAUUUAUCGGUGAUGGAUGGGGAUGCGUCUGAUUAGCUUGUUGGCGGGGUAACGGCCCACCAAGGCAACGAUCAGUAGGGGUUCUGAGAGGAAGGUCCCCCACAUUGGAACUGAGACACGGUCCAAACUCCUACGGGAGGCAGCAGUGAGGAAUAUUGGUCAAUGGGCGAGAGCCUGAACCAGCCAAGUAGCGUGCAGGAUGACGGCCCUAUGGGUUGUAAACUGCUUUUAUAAGGGAAUAAAGUGAGUCUCGUGAGACUUUUUGCAUGUACCUUAUGAAUAAGGACCGGCUAAUUCCGUGCCAGCAGCCGCGGUAAUACGGAAGGUCCGGGCGUUAUCCGGAUUUAUUGGGUUUAAAGGGAGCGUAGGCCGGAGAUUAAGCGUGUUGUGAAAUGUAGACGCUCAACGUCUGCACUGCAGCGCGAACUGGUUUCCUUGAGUACGCACAAAGUGGGCGGAAUUCGUGGUGUAGCGGUGAAAUGCUUAGAUAUCACGAAGAACUCCGAUUGCGAAGGCAGCUCACUGGAGCGCAACUGACGCUGAAGCUCGAAAGUGCGGGUAUCGAACAGGAUUAGAUACCCUGGUAGUCCGCACGGUAAACGAUGGAUGCCCGCUGUUGGUCUGAAUAGGUCAGCGGCCAAGCGAAAGCAUUAAGCAUCCCACCUGGGGAGUACGCCGGCAACGGUGCAACUCAAAUG
rnacentral:rRNA from 1 species